UUGCCUGUAGGUAGCUGGAGGGUGGAGAAAAUUCACUUAAACGAGGAGCUGGUGGGCUCAGUUCAACCCUCUGUCCCCAAGACUCAGGCUUUUCAUUGGAUAAAUGUAGGCAACAAGGCUGUAUCAUGUGGAUGCUGUGAAGGUUACACUAAAUCUAGUACUAGAUAUAGAGGCUCUUGGUAAGAGUGAAAGAGUACAGGUAAUACUGAUUUGAUUUGUAUAAUGAUAAUCAUUUACAAAUGUGCUGUCAUAUACUUGAGUUCACGUUGAUGCUGAUGGUUGAGGUUGGGAAGCCAGGUACUACUAAACCCUUUACAGGUGGAAAGACUGAGGCUCAGAGGCUGCCCAGGUACACUUUGUCAAGGAAGGGCUGGGAACAGACCUUGAAGCCUCAUCUCCCUAAGUGGAAGUAGGACAUCCAUGUGGGGCAUUUUAGUCAGGGUGAGUGCCACUAGCUGCCACAUUAAACAAAUCCAGAAAUUUCAGCAGCCUAAUACAAGAAGAGUGCAUUUGUCACUAACAGCAUGGCAUGGGCUGGUUGCAAUGUGUGGGGCAUGGAGGAUCCUCUGUUCUACAAUCACUAUGGCCCCCAGGCUCCUUCCAUCUUGUGGCUCCUUGCUCCCCUAAGGCCACUGGGUCUUCCAAAGUCAGCCAGUGCGUGAGCAAGGAGACUGGAGAAUUGGGCACCACAGGUUUUUAUUGGCCAGGCCUGGAAGUGGUGAUGUUGCUUCUGCCCCUAUUUCAUUGGCAAGACUCAGUUACAUGGUCCCCCACCUAAAGUACCAGAUGCUGACAGAAGUGGUCUGUGUGCUCAAGAAGAGAAAACAGUCACCUACAGAAGUCACCUAACCCAUAAACCAAAGAAACAGGCUCAAGGACUCCCUCCCCUUUCCUCAUUCCCAUACAGCAGGCACCUGGUGGACAGCUCAGCUCCCUGGCCUGUUUCUUGAAGAAACAAAAGAUGAUGUUUUUUCAGCACUGAGAAUUGAACCCAGGCAAUGCUCUAUCACUAAGCUGCACCCAUGGUGGUAAUCUUGACUCUUUCUGCUAGAGGUAGGCCGGGGAAAGGAGGUGAUAUCAGGCCACUCCCUUCCAUACUCACAUGCAGGGCAGACGUGGUAGGUGCAGGGGGGUUAGAAUGGAAACUGGGGCCCACCUCCCUUUCUGGCCUUGCCCUGGACCCCGGUGUUCAUCAUCUCUGAGAGAAUGUCCACAGAUCUGCACAAAACGCUCACCUUUGAAGAUGGUUCCAUAAUUGGGAGAAGGAGCUUUGCAGGACAGAAAUAGCAGGAAAACAACAGGCAAGGGGUUUUACCCUGGCUGUGAGGAGGGGGCCUGACAAUGGCUUGUUCCAGAGAGUUCCUUCUUUUCCUGCAAAGGCCAAAAGCCGCCAGCUUAAUACAAUAGCCUUUGUUACCUGGAUUAUUCAAGAUCUCUACUGUGGAAAGUGAAUUUUUUUUUAAAACAUGGGAAGUGAUUUGUAAAACAGCCGAUAGCUUUAAUGACAAGCCUAUUUAGCUGAUAAAAUUAGCCAUCAGAGGAAUAACUUAUGUUAUCCUUUUGCCAUAAUUUAAAUUUAUGGCCAACUACCCAUCAUCUUCACAGUGGAUGGAAAGGGGCCAAGGUCAAUUUCAGCUUCACUCUGCUCCUAAAUCAUUAGUUUGCAACUGUCUCCUGAUUUUUAUUGUUACCAACAAUGGCAAAACUAAUGGAAAUAAACAUUGGAUGCCAUCCCAAUAGCAGAUGGGUUUGAAGGCAGGACAGCCUGUGCAGACAGCACUAAUAGGAUGGAGCAAAAUUAUUACAUUGCAUUAGAUACCGUCGAGCUUCUGGCCAAAGUGUGCAUUGAUCAGGCCAAGGCCCAUGUCAAUUGGACUCCACAACCACAGCAUUAAAGGCAGAGAAGAGCUGGGUGUGGCCACCCUGGGCCCCAGUGGGUCUGGCCCUGCCAGGGCAUGCAUUAAAAACCCAGCCCACGGAAGGGGCCCAUCCACUCCAGUAAUGCACGCUUCGGGCUUCCCUCUGCAUCCCAGCUGAUCUGGUCAGGUUAUCUGAUUAGAAAUGCUUUGCUAAUGAUAUGCAUUAAGUGGGGCUGUGACUGCACUUAAAUUCUGUCCAAGACUGGGGAUAGUCUUUUUUUCCUGCCAGUCCAGUUUACCAAUGAAGAUUGGCUUUAUUCCGUCAUCAAAGCCUCUGUGCACCUUUUCUCCCAGAGGCCAGGCCCAUUUGAGCCCUGGGGAGCUGGAGUGCUGUGGUGUUUCUCCCUUUUUGUUUUCAGCAUGUUGACUGCAAGGUGUCUGGGUGUGAGGGUUUUUAUCCUGCUUAGGAUAUUUGUGGUUGUUGUUUUUCAUUAAAGUUUUUGGCCAUGAUUUCUUUUUUGUUUUGAUUUUGUUGGUGCUGGGGAUUCAACUCAGGGGCUCACAUAUGCUAAGCACAUGCUCUACCACUGAACUACACUCCUAGCCCCAGUGAUUUCCUUAUUUUGUGCUUCCCAUUAUUUCCUUCUUCUCCUUCUGGGACUCUAAUUUUGUAAGUUAGGUCGAUUGAGCACAUCUCACAUCUUUCUCCAUCCAUCCUGCAUUCAUUCCCUCCCCUGCCCCUCUCCUUCUGGGUUGUAAGUUUUGGCAUUCUUAUAAGCCUACCCUCAAAUUAAGAAACCCUGUCUUCUCCUAUGUCCAGACUGCUGUCACCCCAUGCAACUAGGUGCU
rnacentral:lncRNA from 1 species